CUCAAUUUUAAAAGAGAUCACUGGUCUACAGGGAAAUAUUCUCACUAACAUUACCCUAUUAUGUAUUCAUUUUAAAUAUCAGCAGAAAAGCUAGUGAAAAUAAUACCAAGAUAAUGAACUGACUACAAGAAAUCUCAGGGACUUGCUUAUCAUUAUUUUUUGACCCUCCAUCCCCAAUAUUUAACUUGUGUGUGUAGUCGCUCAAUCGUGUCCGACUCUUGCGACCCCGUGGACUGUAGCCUACCCGUGGACUGUAGCCUACCAGGCUUCUCCGUCCAUGGGAUUCUCCAGGCAAGAAUACUGGAGUGGGUUACCAUUUCCUUCUCCAGGGGAUCUUCCCGACCCAGGGGUCAAACCCAGGUCUCCUGCAUUUGAGGCAGACGCUUUAACCUCUGAGCCACCAGGGAAGCUGAUUUGGUGCUAAAUACAAAUGUUACUAUUGCUUUAGCACCUGAUUAUUAAUGUUCUCAGACUUUAGGGAAGGUAUCUUUUUUGUCCGCUUUUAAUGCAACAUAACUGACACAGUAUACAUCUUGCUGCAUAAGGCGUGCAGCGUAAUGAUCUGACUCACAUAGGUCACGAGAUGAUGGCCACACUAAGUUUAGUGUCCAGAGACGGCAUGCAGAUGACCAAGAGGCACGUGAACAGAUGCUCAACAUCAAUACCUGUUAGAGAAAUGCAAAGCAGAACUACAGUGACACACCACCUCACCAUGGUCAGAAUGGCCAUCACUAAAAAGUCUACAAAUAACAAAUGCUGGAGAGGGUGUGGAGCAAAGGGAACCCCUCUUACACUGUUGGUGGGAAUGUAAUCUGGUGCAGCCACUAUGUAAAACAGUACAGCGUUCCCUCAGAAAACUAAAAAUAGAAUUAUCAUAUGAUCCAGCAACCCCACUCCUGGGCACAUACCCAGAUAAAAUUAUAAUUUGCAAAGAUCCAUGCACCCCUAUGUUCAUAGCAGCACUACUGACAAAAGCCAAAGCAUGGAAACAACCUAAACGUCCACUGACAGAAUAAAGAAGCACAAUGGAAUAUCACUCAGCCAUCAAAAAGAAUGGAACAAUGUCAUUCGCAGCAACAUGGGCAGACCUAGAGACGGUCAUACUAAGUGAAGCACAAAUGCCAUGUAAUAUCACAUAUAUGUGGAAUCUAAAAUAUAACAGAAAUGAACAUAUCUAUGAAAAAACAGACACAGAACAGACUUGUGGUUGCCAAGGGGAAGGGAUGAAUGGGGAGCUUGGGAUUAGCAGAGGCAAACUAAUAUCCAAUAUCCUGUGGCAAACCAUAAUGGAAAAGGGUAAGAAAAAGAAUGCAUACGUAUAUGUGUAACUGAGUCACUUUGCUGUACAACAGAAAUUAACACAAUAUUGUAAAUCAACUUCAAUAAAAUUUUUUAUAAAUUAAAAAAAUAAGUUUAGUGAAAUCAUCUUAUAUAGAUACAAAAUUAAAGCAAUAGAAAAGAAAGUCAUUAUCUCUACUUUGUAAGUAUAAAGACCUCCAACAUUUUAAUCAUGUCUCAUAAUCUCAACUACAUUAUAUAAAUGAUAAUGUAUAUGUUACAAUGUAUGUUUAAAAUAUAUACACAAGCUAGCUGUUUAUGUCCGCUUAUUUGCUCUUGUGUAUGGACAAGCUGAGAAUUCUUUGUGAGCUGCUAGACACAAUUUCCAGUUGAAACUUCAGACUUCCGAAGCCCUAGCCAGGAUGCACAGGUGAUGGUCAGUGUCAGCCAGUGUAGCGAAGGCUGAAGCAUGCUCACCAAGUCAGGGAGAGCUCAGCAUGGCUCCAGGCAUGACCUUGACCGAGACCCAGGAAGUUGGAGAGGAAACUACCAUACCUGGAGGAAUUGAAUCCAGGUGCCCAGAGCUCCCUUCACAAAAGGGCACCCUGGUUCCUUUAACUGAGGGAAUGAUGUCAGGUAGGGUGAGCUCUCAGAUUUUGUUAAACCACUACUAACAGAUUCUUAUUCAGUCAGUCAGUUCAGUCUCAUAGUCGUGUCUUACUCUUUGUGACCCCGUGGACUCUGCAGCACGCCAGGCCUCCCUGUCCAUCACCAACUCCCAAAGCCUACUCAAACCCAUGUCCAUCGAGUUGGUGAUGUCAUCCAGCCAUCUCAUACUGUCAUCCCCUUCAAUCUCUUCCUGCCUUCAUUCUUUCCCAGCAUCAGGGUCUUUUCCAGUGAGUCAGCUUUUCACAUCAAGUGGCCAAAGUAUUGGAGUUUCAGCUUCAGCAUCAGUCCUUCCAAUGAAUUCAGGACUGCUUUCCUUUAGGAUGGACUGGUUGGAUCUCCUUGCAGUCCAAGGGACUCUCAAGAGUUUUCUCCAGCACCACAGUUCAAAAGCAUC
ensembl:lncRNA